rnacentral:rRNA from 1 species
UACGGGGGGGGCAAGCGUUGUUCGGAAUUACUGGGCGUAAAGGGUUCGUAGGUGGCUCGCUAAGUCAGACGUGAAAUCCCUCAGCUUAACUGGGGAACUGCGUCUGAUACUGGUUGGCUUGAGUGCAGGAGAGGAAUGCGGAAUUCCAGGUGUAGCGGUGAAAUGCGUAGAUAUCUGGAGGAACACCGGUGGCGAAGGCGGCAUUCUGGACUGCAACUGACACUGAAAGACGAAAGCCAGGGGAGCAAACGGG